GUAUGAUAACUGAGCAAGUAAAGAACAUGAGCAAGUAGGUAGAAUCAUGAAUAUCUAGCUAUGCCUCAAUCUGAUAUCAUGCAUGCAUGAACAAUAAAUAAAGCUGGGUAGUAAGCUACUAUGAACAACAACAACAAGUAAGCUAUCAUAAACAACCAUAGGGAAGCUACUAUAAACAACAUGUAAUGAGUGUGACUCAAUAAGUUACCCAAUCUCAUGGUGAACUCGAAGUUCACAAGCAUAACUCACGUGUAAGUCUCAUAGGGAAAGUCUCACUGAACUACUCCCGAGACCGCCUGCGGACAGCACACAGACCGUCCAGACAGCACACUGACUGUCCCUCUAGUGACCAACCUCCGGAGUGCACAGCUUGCGGGGAGCGACCCCUCCAAGCGCAGACAGGCUAUGUGAGCACGAUCAACUCACGAACAACAGCAACCUACCCUCUAAGGGUAAUCUCAUCAUGGAAUCAAGGUGUUCUUGUACCCAAUCUCAUAGUGUCUCAACUACACUAAGGUUCUCAUAUCAAAAUUAUCAAUAACCAUAUGUCCUUCAUCAUAGUUUUCUAUAACUAGAUGCCACUUGUCAUAGUUUUCUAAACUAGAUGCCACUCGUCAUUUAGACUCAUUUUCAACACUAGUUACAUCAUACUAGUUCUUUAAUCUCAUAAACAUUAACCAUCACAUAUAGGGUCUAGGUUUUC
rnacentral:lncRNA from 1 species